AGGACGAACGCUGGCGGCGUGCUUAACACAUGCAAGUCGAGCGGUAAGGCCCCUUCGGGGGUACACGAGCGGCGAACGGGUGAGUAACACGUGAGUAACCUGCCCCCCACUUUGGGAUAACCCCGGGAAACCGGGGCUAAUACCGAAUACGACCACACGAGGCAUCUCGAGUGGUGGAAAGUUCCGGCGGUGGAGGAUGGACUCGCGGCCUAUCAGCUUGUUGGUGAGGUAACGGCCCACCAAGGCGACGACGGGUAGCCGGCCUGAGAGGGUGACCGGCCACACUGGGACUGAGACACGGCCCAGACUCCUACGGGAGGCAGCAGUGGGGAAUAUUGGACAAUGGGCGAAAGCCUGAUCCAGCCAUGCCGCGUGGAUGAUGAAGGCCUUAGGGUUGUAAAGUCCUUUUAACGGGAAGAUAAUGACGGUACCCGUAGAAUAAGCCCGGCUAACUUCGUGCCAGCAGCCGC
rnacentral:rRNA from 1 species